rnacentral:rRNA from 1 species
GUUGAUCCUGCUAGAGGACACUGCUAUCGGCUUGGGGUUAAGACAUGCAAGUGUAACGAACUCACAUCCGAGUUCGUCGCAAACGGCUCAGUAGUGUCGUUAACCUACCCUGUAGAGGCGGAAAACGCCGGGAAACUGGCGGUAAUUCGCCAUAGGAGCAUUGUUCUGGAAAUGAUAUUGCUCUCAAAUGGGUGCUCUAGGUAUGUAGAGCUCACCGCUGCAGGACGGGACGGCAAUGGAUCAUACUUGUAAGUGGGGUAAUUGCCCACUUAGGUUAUGACCCGCGCGGGCGAUGUAAGUCGUGGCCCGGAGAAGGGAACUGAGACAAGGUCCCUAGCCCCACGGGGCGCAGCAGUUACGAAACCUCACCAAUGCGCGAAAGCGUGAGUGGGCCAAGCCGAGUGACGGGAGAUAAUUCCGUCUGUGGCGGUACCGUAGUAUGGUCCGCUAGAAAGGAGAGGGCAAGGCUGGUGCCAGCCGCCGCGGUAAAACCAGCUCUUCGAGUGGUGUCCAUGAUUAUUGAGCUUAAAGCGUUCGUAGCCGGUUUAGUAGGUCCCUGCUUAAAUCCGGCCGCCUAACGGUCGGCCUGGUAGGGAUACCGCUUUACUUGGGGAUGGGAGACGGUGACGGUAUUCCAGAGGUAGGGGUGAAAUCCUAUGAUCUCUGGAGGACCACCAGUGGCGUAGGCGGUCGCCGAGAACAUGCCCGACGGUGAGGGACGAAACCCAGGGGAGCGAAUCGGAUUAGAUACCCGAGUAGUCCUGGGCGUAAACCAUGCCCGCUAAGUGUUGCAUUGGCCACGAGCCAUUGCGGUGCUGUAGCAAAAGCGAUAAGCGGGCCGCUUGGGAAGUACGGUCGCAAGACUGAACGCACAGGUCACACCGACUUGUGCCAGGAAACUUAAAGGAAUUGGCGGGGGAGCACCACAAGGGGUGGAGCUUGCGGUUUAAUUGGACUCAACGCCGGAAAUCUUACCUGCCCAGACAGCCGAAUGAGAGCCAGGUUGAUGACCUUGCUCGACGAGCUGAGAGCUGGUGCAUGGCCAUCGUAAAUUCGUGCCGUGAGGUAUCAGCUUAAGUGCUGCAACGAAUGAGAUCCCUGCCACCUAAUUGCCAGCCGGGGGCUUCGGCCCUGCCGGGGCACAUUAGGGGGACCGCCAUCGAGAAGAUGGAGGAAGGUGGGGGCCACGGUAGGUCAGUAUGCCGCGAUAUGGGCAGGGCCACACGCGUGCUACAAUGGCCGGGACAAUGUGUUACAACGCCGAGAGGCGAAGUCAAUCACUAAACCCGGUCGUAGUCGGAAUCGGGGGUUGGAACUCACCCCCGUGAACCUGGAAUCCCUAUCAUCUGUAGACUCCCUAUAGAUGGGGAAAGUAUCCGCGUGUCACUAACGCGCGGAGAAUACGUCCCUGCCGGCGCCGAGAUUACCUCUGUGCCGGGGAAUUCUUGCACACACCGCCCGUCGCUCCAUGCGAGCGGGUUUGGGGUGAGGCUGUGUCCAUUGGGCGCAGACGAAUCUUGGGCUCGCAAGUAGGGAGAAGUCGUAAC